GGCGCGCACGGCCCCGGGCUCCGGGCGCCUCCGGCCGCUGGGCUCUCUCCGCCGCCAGCCCUCGGCGGCCGCCGCAGCCCGCCCGGCUCCCUCCUAGCUCCAUGCGUGCGAUCGCCGUGCGUGUGUGUGUGUAUGUGUGACGGGGGCGCGCGUGUGUGUGCGCGCGCAUGGGGGGGCAGUGUGCAUGCGGGGCGUGCGGGGGAGUGUGUUUGUGUGCGUGUGGGUGUGAGUGCCUGGCUCGUUCUCUCUGAGACACACACAUACACACACACACACACGCACACACUCACACUCACACGCACAACCGGCUGACUCGUCUGAACUUGAAGACGCCCCACAUUCCAAGAUGCUCGAGGUUCCUGGGGAUGCCCGGGUUUCUUCGAUUUGGAAAAUCCUACCGCCGUCUUCCUAGGGAGAGAUUAUGUUUUGUUUUGUUUUUUAAUCUGGAAGAGAACAAGUUGUGCUUUUUCUUUCUUUCUUCGUGCUAAAUGCCGUGGAUAUAACUGAAUAAGCGGCUCAGGGCUCUCCCCGCGUGGACAUCCGAGGCCACCAUCUGCCUGUGUUCGCCGGAGCCGGAGGGCUUAGCUCGAGCCGGUCUCGGGCGGGGAAGGAUGCGUGGCCGAGCCGGGGAGCCCGGGCGCCCUGCGGAACCGGCCUCGGUGCAUCCCAGCCGGGGGUAGAUGCUGCCUCGCCCAGUUCUGAAAUAAAAUCAAGGAUCCAGGGGAUUCUGGCCUCCAGUGUCAGGUACGUACGUCAAGCCUGUCCAGCCUGUGAGAUGGAGCAGUUCUCCUUCAGAAAGUCCCCUGUCCCAGGCUGGAGGUGAGCACAGUAUUGGCAUCUGGGGCCUGGCUUCCCAUUCUGAUGGGGGAGGCUUCUAGACUGAGAGCAGAGACAUGGAGCAGAAACCAGCCAGAAACAGCCGAAUGUAACAGGACCCUGGACAGAAGCAAGAACUAUUGGAGUGUUUUGCAAUUUUAUUUUGAGCAUAGUUGGAGUCUAUUUGACUCCAGUUUAUUUGAAGUUUAGUUGUAGUUUUUGGGCACAGUUUAUUUGAAGGGAUAGAGUUGUCAUAUACAGGCAUACCUUGGAGAUAUUGCAGUUCUGUUCCGCUAUAAUAAAGCAAAUAUUGUAAUAAAGUGAGUCAUGAA